UUUAACUUCACGGAAAGGACCCGGGGCUCUGUGGCUUCCCAUCCGUCUUGUGACCCGGAAUCAUGGUGAUCUAAAAGAGCCCUGUGACUCUGGGAAAUUUGUUAUCAAAGGAUGUUAGCCACAAGUCCUGUUGGCAAAUGGACCCCAGGUGGCCUGCAGUGCCAAGCUGUUUCCCUGCCAGCCUCCCAGUCUGGCCCUGACUCUCCAAUGUGUCACAGAAUAAAGAAAAAGACUGGGAGAGAGAUGGGAGCUGAUAGACCAGAGGAGACCAAAGACUGAAACUGAAGACUAAACCAUGGAAAUUGGGAACAAGCACUUACUCGCUUAGAGGGUGAAAAAAGUGAAUUUGCCUACAGGGCCAAUUUGGAAGCACCUCUCCCUGGAAGCCAGUCAAUGAAGAGCCAUUGGAGGAUUUUAAAUAAGGAACCGAAAAAUGGAGUCUGAAAAUAGAGGCGCAGAGACCGGUCAACCACAAUGAAGAACAAGCCAUUUUGACCUCCAUCCUGGCUCAUCUCCUCUGUGUUCUCAUAGCAUCAUAUUAUAGAAUGGAUCACAAACGCCUUUGCAGUUGCCUAUUUAUUUGUCCAUUUCUCCCUCCAGACU
rnacentral:lncRNA from 10 species